CCUACGGGAGGCAGCAGUGGGGAAUAUUGCACAAUGGGGGAAACCCUGAUGCAGCGACGCCGCGUGAGUGAAGAAGUAAUUCGUUAUGUAAAGCUCUAUCAGCAGGGAAGAAAAUGACGGUACCUGAGUAAGAAGCCCCGGCUAACUACGUGCCAGCAGCCGCGGUAAUACGUAGGGGGCAAGCGUUAUCCGGAUUUACUGGGUGUAAAGGGAGCGUAGACGGCAGUGCAAGUCUGGAGUGAAAGGCGGGGGCUCAACCCCCGGACUGCUCUGGAAACUGUACGGCUGGAGUGCAGGAGAGGUAAGUGGAAUUCCUAGUGUAGCGGUGAAAUGCGUAGAUAUUAGGAGGAACACCAGUGGCGAAGGCGGCUUACUGGACUGUAACUGACGCUGAGGAGCGAAAGCGUGGGUAGCAAACAGGAUUAGAUACCCCGGUAGUC
rnacentral:rRNA from 1 species